rnacentral:misc_RNA from 1 species
UUCAAGCCUAUCGACUUCAGCCGGCCGGGGAGAGAGGACAAUUUCUUCGAGCUGUUUGGAGAGGUUGGAUUCGAUUUCAGAGAGUUUGAGUCUGGCAGUGUCAACGGUCUCGUGGUCAGGACGAGGGCCGAGGGUUUGAAGGACGGAUCGGGUCUGGACCACGUCGGAGAUGGCGCGAGUCAUGGAAGCAAUGACUUUGGGGUCCGUUAAGUGGGGUAAUUGGGAGACGAUGGGUAUUUGACUGGAAGAGGGGUCGGACGAAGUGCGAGGCGGCGGCUGCUCGACGUCGAAGGAGGUGUCGGAAGAUUUGGGUCCGAAAGAAGGAAGGCGGGCCAUGACAUAAGAGAGGAUUGGGAAGGAGUUAGGGUUGGGAUCCAUAAUGGUAAUGAGGUAGAAGAAAUUUGCAGAAAGAAAGAGAGGUUGUUGAAUGAACCGAUGGAGCCUUGUCACUUUGUUUAAGCUCUGCGCCACUCUCCUUCUGUCUCCUCUAUGGUGAGGGGAAAUGUGACGACCAAA